rnacentral:rRNA from 1 species
UACGUAGGGUGCGAGCGUUGUCCGGAAUUAUUGGGCGUAAAGAGCUCGUAGGCGGUCUGUCGCGUCGAUCGUGAAAACUUGGGGCUUAACCCUGAGCUUGCGGUCGAUACGGGCAUGACUGGAGUUCGGCAGGGGAGACUGGAAUUCCUGGUGUAGCGGUGAAAUGCGCAGAUAUCAGGAGGAACACCGGUGGCAAAGGCGGUUCUCUGGGCAUGUCCUGACGCUGAGGAGCGAAAGUGUGGGGAGCGAACAGG